CUGCCAUGAUUCUGAGGCCUCCCCAGCCAUGUGGAACUGGCUCAGUGUGGUCAAAAGAAGACUAUAGAAUCAAGGAUGAAGAGAAGGAACACAAAAUAAAAGGACGUCUCAGCAGGAAGCUCUGUGACUACUAUACGUCUCAUCUUCAGCACUUCUAAACUGUGGGAAACUAUGUGAAAACAAAUGGAGUGGCCAAACACACCAUUCAUCACUGUGCUUCUGGACAGCUGCAAGUCCAUACAUGUUCCAAUGAAGUCUGGCUAUGUUGCCCAGGCUGGAGUGCAAUGGCACAAUCUCGGCUCACUGCAAUCUCUGCCUCCUGGCUUCAUGCAAUUCUCCUGCCUCAGCCUCCCAAGUAGCUGGGAUUACAGACAUGCACCACCACGCCCAGCUAAUUUUUGUAUUUUUACUACAGACAGGGUUUCACUAUGCUAGUUGGGCUGAUCUUGAACUCCUGACCUCAAGUGAUCCACCCACCGCAGCCUCCCAAAGUGCUGGGAUUAC
rnacentral:antisense_RNA from 1 species